GACGAACGCUGGCGGCGUGCUUAACACAUGCAAGUCGAACGGAAAGGCCCUGCUUUUGUGGGGUGCUCGAGUGGCGAACGGGUGAGUAACACGUGAGUAACCUGCCCUUGACUUUGGGAUAACUUCAGGAAACUGGGGCUAAUACCGGAUAGGAGCUCCUGCUGCAUGGUGGGGGUUGGAAAGUUUCGGCGGUUGGGGAUGGACUCGCGGCUUAUCAGCUUGUUGGUGGGGUAGUGGCUUACCAAGGCUUUGACGGGUAGCCGGCCUGAGAGGGUGACCGGCCACAUUGGGACUGAGAUACGGCCCAGACUCCUACGGGAGGCAGCAGUGGGGAAUAUUGCACAAUGGGCGGAAGCCUGAUGCAGCAACGCCGCGUGCGGGAUGACGGCCUUCGGGUUGUAAACCGCUUUCGCCUGUGAAGAAGAGUGAGUGACGGUAAUGGGUAAAGAAGCACCGGCUAACUACGUG
rnacentral:rRNA from 1 species